rnacentral:rRNA from 1 species
UUAAGCGACUAAGCGUACACGGUGGAUGCCCUGGCAGUCAGAGGCGAUGAAGGACGUGCUAAUCUGCGAUAAGCGUCGGUAAGGUGAUAUGAACCGUUAUAACCGGCGAUUUCCGAAUGGGGAAACCCAGUGUGAUUCGUCACACUAUCAUUAACUGAAUCCAUAGGUUAAUGAGGCGAACCGGGGGAACUGAAACAUCUAAGUACCCCGAGGAAAAGAAAUCAACCGAGAUUCCCCCAGUAGCGGCGAGCGAACGGGGAGGAGCCCAGAGCCUGAAUCAGUGUGUGUGUUAGUGGAAGCGUCUGGAAAGGCGCGCGAUACAGGGUGACAGCCCCGUACACAAAAAUGCACAUGCUGUGAGCUCGAUGAGUAGGGCGGGACACGUGGUAUCCUGUCUGAAUAUGGGGGGACCAUCCUCCAAGGCUAAAUACUCCUGACUGACCGAUAGUGAACCAGUACCGUGAGGGAAAGGCGAAAAGAACCCCGGCGAGGGGAGUGAAAAAGAACCUGAAACCGUGUACGUACAAGCAGUGGGAGCCUCUUAAUGGGGUGACUGCGUACCUUUUGUAUAAUGGGUCAGCGACUUAUAUUCUGUAGCAAGGUUAACCGAAUAGGGGAGCCGAAGGGAAACCGAGUCUUAACUGGGCGUUAAGUUGCAGGGUAUAGACCCGAAACCCGGUGAUCUAGCCAUGGGCAGGUUGAAGGUUGGGUAACACUAACUGGAGGACCGAACCGACUAAUGUUGAAAAAUUAGCGGAUGACUUGUGGCUGGGGGUGAAAGGCCAAUCAAACCGGGAGAUAGCUGGUUCUCCCCGAAAGCUAUUUAGGUAGCGCCUCGUGAAUUCAUCUCCGGGGGUAGAGCACUGUUUCGGCAAGGGGGUCAUCCCGACUUACCAACCCGAUGCAAACUGCGAAUACCGGAGAAUGUUAUCACGGGAGACACACGGCGGGUGCUAACGUCCGUCGUGAAGAGGGAAACAACCCAGACCGCCAGCUAAGGUCCCAAAGUCAUGGUUAAGUGGGAAACGAUGUGGGAAGGCCCAGACAGCCAGGAUGUUGGCUUAGAAGCAGCCAUCAUUUAAAGAAAGCGUAAUAGCUCACUGGUCGAGUCGGCCUGCGCGGAAGAUGUAACGGGGCUAAACCAUGCACCGAAGCUGCGGCAGCGACGCUUAUGCGUUGUUGGGUAGGGGAGCGUUCUGUAAGCCUGCGAAGGUGUACUGUGAGGUAUGCUGGAGGUAUCAGAAGUGCGAAUGCUGACAUAAGUAACGAUAAAGCGGGUGAAAAGCCCGCUCGCCGGAAGACCAAGGGUUCCUGUCCAACGUUAAUCGGGGCAGGGUGAGUCGACCCCUAAGGCGAGGCCGAAAGGCGUAGUCGAUGGGAAACAGGUUAAUAUUCCUGUACUUGGUGUUACUGCGAAGGGGGGACGGAGAAGGCUAUGUUGGCCGGGCGACGGUUGUCCCGGUUUAAGCGUGUAGGCUGGUUUUCCAGGCAAAUCCGGAAAAUCAAGGCUGAGGCGUGAUGACGAGGCACUACGGUGCUGAAGCAACAAAUGCCCUGCUUCCAGGAAAAGCCUCUAAGCAUCAGGUAACAUCAAAUCGUACCCCAAACCGACACAGGUGGUCAGGUAGAGAAUACCAAGGCGCUUGAGAGAACUCGGGUGAAGGAACUAGGCAAAAUGGUGCCGUAACUUCGGGAGAAGGCACGCUGAUAUGUAGGUGAAGUCCCUCGCGGAUGGAGCUGAAAUCAGUCGAAGAUACCAGCUGGCUGCAACUGUUUAUUAAAAACACAGCACUGUGCAAACACGAAAGUGGACGUAUACGGUGUGACGCCUGCCCGGUGCCGGAAGGUUAAUUGAUGGGGUUAGCGCAAGCGAAGCUCUUGAUCGAAGCCCCGGUAAACGGCGGCCGUAACUAUAACGGUCCUAAGGUAGCGAAAUUCCUUGUCGGGU